CCUACGGGUGGCACCAGUGGGGAAUAUUGCACAAUGGGCGCGAGCCUGAUGCAGCCAUGCCGCGUGUAUGAAGAAGGCCUUCGGGUUGUAAAGUACUUUCAGCGGGGAGGAAGGCGAUAAGGUUAAUAACCUUGUCGAUUGACGUUACCCGCAGAAGAAGCACCGGCUAACUCCGUGCCAGCAGCCGCGGUAAUACGGAGGGUGCAAGCGUUAUCGGAAUUACUGGGCGUAAAGCGCACGCAGGCGGUCUAUCAAGUCGGAUGUGAAAUCCCCGGGCUCAACCUGGGAACUGCAUUCGAAACUGGCAGGUUAGAGUCUCGUAGAGGGGGGUAGGAUUCCAGGUGUAGCGGUGAAAUGCGUAGGGAUCUGGAGGAAUACCGGUGGCGAAGGCGGCCCCCUGGACAAAGACUGACGCUCAGGUGCGAAAGCGUGGGGAGCAAACAGGAUUAGAUACCCCAGUAGUC
rnacentral:rRNA from 1 species